rnacentral:rRNA from 1 species
UACGUAGGGGGCGAGCGUUGUUCGGAAUUACUGGGCGUAAAGGGCUCGUAGGCGGCCAACUAAGUCAGACGUGAAAUCCCUCGGCUUAACCGGGGAACUGCGUCUGAUACUGGAUGGCUUGAGUGUGGGAGAGGGAUGCGGAAUUCCAGGUGUAGCGGUGAAAUGCGUAGAUAUCUGGAGGAACACCGGUGGCGAAGGCGGCAUCCUGGACCACGACUGACGCUGAGUGAGCGAAAGCCAGGGGAGCAAACGGG